rnacentral:lncRNA from 1 species
GACAAAGCUGUCUCUGGUUGAACUCUGGCUCUGGCAUGCUGUCUCUGGUACCUCUGGCUCUGGCAGGUUGUUUAUAGUUUCUUUCUUUUAAGUAUGUAAUUUAUGUAUUAAAAGGCGAGAUUUUUCUGUAGUUUCUUUCUUUUAAUAUUUGUAGUUUCUUUCUUUUUUCUAUAGUUUCUUUCUUUUAAUACUUGUAGUUUUUUUCUUUUUUCUAUAGUUUCUUUCUUGUAUUACUUGUAGUUUCUUUUAAGUAUGUAGUUUCUUUUUUCUUUUUCGUUUCAAAUUUUUAAUUAUUUUUUUAUUUUAUUUAGUUUGAAAAAUAGUAUCAUUUAAUUUGUUAUAUAUUAAAGGUUUCAUUUAGUAAGAAAAAUAGUAUCAUUUGUUCUAUAUUUAAAGGUUUCUGAUGAAGCAAGAAAUUUGACCCUAAAUAUAAAAACGAUAAACGAUACAUGAAUUUACGUGGUUCGGUCAUUAAGACCUACAUGCACGGGCGAUUUACGAGUAUUUCCACUGUGAUCUGUGUGUUACGAGUACAAGCUGAGUAAUAAGAAUGAAUCCCC